rnacentral:lncRNA from 1 species
GAAACUGUGUUUUUAAGGAGGCUUUCUGAAGAUUAAAAAUGCCUAGUCGCUGAAUCACCAAUAGAGAGGCAUCGGGAAGGGCACAGUUUUUCAUUGCGUCCCAUGGACUAUGCUGGAAGGAACAACAGCUUCAGAUUGUAAAAUCUUUCGACUACCUAUGAAGAGAUAUUUUUAAACACUAUAUGCUUUCUCUUCCCCAUGGAAAGAGUUUUAUUGUGUUCUUUCCUGACUGAGGUUUUGCUUAGCAGUGGCAACCAAAGAGAAGAAAAAGAGAAGAGAUGCAGAAUUACUAACAUACAACCUACUGAAAAUAAGAAACUGGAAGCCAACAGCUGUGGGUGUUAACCUUAGCUCACUCUCUUGGUUGCUGUGUACCCUCUGACCUUCAGCAGCAUAUAUAACGUCUAUUCGGAGCAGUGUUCAAAGAUGUUUG